rnacentral:rRNA from 1 species
GUGUCAGCAGCCGCGGUAAUACGUAGGCAGCAAGCGUUGUUCGGAGUUACUGGGCGUAAAGAGUGUGUAGGCGGUUGUCCAAGUCUGGUGUGAAAUCUCCCGGCUUAACUGGGAGGGUGCGCCGGAAACUGGACGGCUUGAGUAUGGGAGAGGGAAGUGGAAUUCCUGGUGUAGCGGUGAAAUGCGUAGAUAUCAGGAGGAACACCGGCGGUGUAGACGGCUUCCUGGACCAUUACUGACGCUGAGACACGAAAGCGUGGGGAGCAAACAGGAUUAGAAACCCCCGUAGUCC